UACGUAGGGGGCAAGCGUUGUCCGGAUUCAUUGGGCGUAAAGAGCGUGUAGGCGGCCAGGUAGGUCGGUUGUGAAAACUGGAGGCUCAACCUUCAGAGGUCGACCGAAACCAUCUGGCUAGAGUCCGGGAGAGGAGAGCGGAAUUCCUGGUGUAGCGGUGAAAUGCGCAGAUAUCAGGAAGAACACCCGUGGCGAAAGCGGCUCUCUGGAACGGUACUGACGCUGAGACGCGAAAGCGUGGGGAGCGAACAGG
rnacentral:rRNA from 1 species